rnacentral:rRNA from 1 species
UUGAUCCUGGCUCAGAGCGAACGUUAGCGGCAGGCUUAACACAUGCAAGUCGAGCGAGAAAGGGGCUUCGGCUCCGAGUAAAAGCGGCGGACGGGUGCGUAACACGUGGAUAAUCUGCCUCGUGGCGGGGGACAACAGUCCGAAAGGACUGCUAAUACCGCAUGUCAGGUCGGAAACUCCGGUUUCUGACGAAAAAGAGGGCGUCCGCAAGGAGCUCUCACCACGAGAUGAGUCCGCGUCCCAUCAGCUAGUUGGCGGUGUAAUGGACCACCAAGGCUUAGACGGGUAGCUGGUCUGAGAGGAUGACCAGCCACACUGGGACUGAGACACGGCCCAGACUCCUACGGGAGGCAGCAGUGGGGAAUAUUGGACAAUGGGCGAAAGCCUGAUCCAGCCAUGCCGCGUGAGUGAUGAAGGCCUCGGUCGUAAAGCUCUGUGGGGAGGGACGAAAAGACGUAGACCUAAUACGUCUCGCCUUGAC